CCCUUAGAUGUCCGGGGCCGCACGCGCGCUACACUGAAGGAAUCAGCGUGGCUUUCUCCCUGACCCGAAAGGGUUGGGAAACCCGUUGAAUCUCCUUCGUGAUAGGGAUUGGUGCUUGAAAUUGUUCCCCAUGAACGAGGAAUUCCCAGUAAGCGCGAGUCAUAAGCUCGCGUUGAUUACGUCCCUGCCCUUUGUACACACCGCCCGUCGCUACUACCGAUUGAACGGUUUAGUGAGGGCCUCGGAUUGGUCUCGGCCCGCUCUUUACCGGGCGGCGCCGUUGGUCGAGAAGACGCUCGAACUUGAUCGUUUAGAGGAAGUAAAAGUCGUAACA
rnacentral:rRNA from 1 species